rnacentral:rRNA from 1 species
AAUGAACGCUGGCGGCGUGCCUAACACAUGCAAGUUGAGCGGUGAGGCCCCUUCGGGGGUACACGAGCAGCGAACGGGUGAGUAUCGCGUGGGUAAUCUACCUUGAGGUGGGGGAUAGCCUCGGGAAACCGAGGGUAAUACCGCAUACGUCCUUAACGUCAUAAGGCGACGAGGGGAAAGGCGGGGCUCCUUCGGGACCUGUCGCCUCUGGAUGAGCCCGCGUCCGAUUAGCUUGUUGGUGAGGUAAUGGCUCACCAAGGCUUCGAUCGGUAGCCGGCCUGAGAGGGUGAACGGCCACAUUGGGACUGAGACACGGCCCAG